rnacentral:rRNA from 1 species
AUGGCAAAGGUUCAACUCUUCAAUCAGAAUGUGUCCUCAUCAUGGUUUAGAAAGAUGGCUGGUGUUACAAACCUUUUACAAAGGACUAUCCACUCAGACCAGGGCUUUUGUCGAUUCUGCUGUUGGAGAGGAAUCAUGAACAAAACCCUUGAUGAAGCACUUGCAUUGAUUGAAAGUAUGGCGUCUCAUCAUUUCCAAUGGUCAAGUGAAAGAGCAAUGGCACCACCACAUCCUGGUGUGUAUAAUGUGUCUGCAAAUGAUAGCAUGGUGGCUCAGAUUGACAUCUUGAACAAGAAGAUGGAUAGUAUCAUGUCAAAUUGCAUCGGUACAUCUGUAGCUUUAGUAAGUGUGCCUCAAAUGUGUGAUGUAUGUGGCCAAGCAGGUCAUCCUUCAACAGAAUGUACCUUUUAUUCAGCAAUUGGAUCAUCAGUUUCAGAAGUAAGUUAUGCCCAAGGUCAAGGUCCAUUCUCAAAUAGCUAUAAUCCUUCUUGGAGGAACCACCCAAACUUGUCGUACAAGAACAAUCAGUCCUAUGCAAGUGGAUCGACAGUACAAGGAAAUCGACCACCAAAUCAUCCAAGUCAAUUUCAAGUGCCGAGGCAGAAUGAACAACAAAAUGUUCAGUCAAAUGGAAUGGAGGAAAUCAUGAAGAUGCAGUUGGAAUUAAUGAACAAGAUGACAAAUGAAGUUAAUGGCUUAAAAGAUUCUGUUAAGAUGCUUGUGAGCAAAAUGGAUAGUAUGGUGGGAGAAAAUGAAGCAAGGCUGCCUGCUCAACCAAUUCCAAACCCGAAAGCUCACUAUGGGGCAAUAUGUUCAGUUGAUGCAGUGACUACAAGGAGUGGAGUUAUGACAAGACCAUUACUUCCUAUUCCAAAGGCAUAUGUGCCUCCUGCUAUGAGGCCAAGUUCAUCCGGAACUCCACCUUCAACAUCAUCAGAGAAAAUAAAGGAGAAAGGAGUUGAUAACUGA